ACCCUAAUAUCCAGCAGACAAAGC
rnacentral:siRNA from 1 species